rnacentral:rRNA from 1 species
UACGUAGGGUGCGAGCGUUGUCCGGAAUUAUUGGGCGUAAAGAGCUCGUAGGCGGUCUGUCGCGUCGGAUGUGAAAACUCGGGGCUCAACCCCGAGUCUGCAUUCGAUACGGGCAGACUAGAGUUCGGUAGGGGAGACUGGAAUUCCUGGUGUAGCGGUGAAAUGCGCAGAUAUCAGGAGGAACACCGGUGGCGAAGGCGGGUCUCUGGGCCGAUACUGACGCUGAGGAGCGAAAGCGUGGGGAGCGAACAGG